UACGGGGGGAGCAAGCGUUGUUCGGAUUUACUGGGCGUAAAGGGCGCGUAGGCGGUCAGCACAAGUCAGUUGUGAAAUCUCCGGGCUUAACUCGGAAAGGUCAACUGAUACUGUGCGACUAGAGUGCGGAAGGGGCAACUGGAAUUCUCGGUGUAGCGGUGAAAUGCGUAGAUAUCGAGAGGAACACCUGCGGCGAAGGCGGGUUGCUGGGCCGACACUGACGCUGAUGCGCGAAAGCCAGG
rnacentral:rRNA from 1 species